UAAUGAUCAGUGAUGUUACUCAGAAACUUACUUUAUCUAUCUGUAACUUCCUAUGGGAAUAGAAAAUGACCAGAACUUACUGAGAUCCCUU